UACCGCAUCAUGUCACGUAUGUA
rnacentral:siRNA from 1 species